GAUGAGCGCUGGCGGCGUGCCUAAUACAUGCAAGUCGAGCGAACAGACGAGGAGCUUGCUCCUCCGACGUUAGCGGCGGACGGGUGAGUAACACGUGGAUAACCUACCUAUAAGACUGGGAUAACUUCGGGAAACCGGAGCUAAUACCGGAUAAUAUAUUGAACCGCAUGGUUCAAUAGUGAAAGACGGUUUUGCUGUCACUUAUAGAUGGAUCCGCGCCGCAUUAGCUAGUUGGUAAGGUAACGGCUUACCAAGGCAACGAUGCGUAGCCGACCUGAGAGGGUGAUCGGCCACACUGGAACUGAGACACGGUCCAGACUCCUACGGGAGGCAGCAGUAGGGAAUCUUCCGCAAUGGGCGAAAGCUUGACGGAGCAACGCCGCGUGAGUGAUGAAGGUCUUCGGAUCGUAAAACUCUGUUAUUAGGGAAGAACAAAUGUGUAAGUAACUAUGCACGUCUUGACGGUACCUAAUCAGAAAGCCACGGCUAACUACGUG
rnacentral:rRNA from 1 species